CUUAGCGAACUGAAACAUCUGAGUAGCUAAAGGAAGGAAAAUCAACCGAGACCCCGUUAGUAGCGGCGAGCGAGAGCGGAACAAGGGUUUUCAUCAAAAGAAAUCCGAAGCGGUUUCAUUCGAUUUGUUGUGGAUUGGAUGAUGGAAAAACCAGCAAGCAGCAAGCGUAGGCUGUGUUGCCGUAGCGCGCCCUACGGAGUUGUACAAAGUCAGCAACCGUUUUGGGGCGCAAGCAUAGGCAACACAGGACUGAUGACGGGGUGGGGCGCGCAGUGAACUGGUUUUCUAAAAAGAUUGGAAGAUCCGGCCAAAGAAGGUGAUAGCCCUGUUCAUUCGUUCCCAUGGUUCGAUCCUUCCCAGUAAAACGCGGCGUGUUCGAAUGAUGAUCGCUUUUACGCGAGAAAGGGGGACCACCCUCUAAGCCUAAGUAUUCCUCAAUGACCGAUAGCGUACAAGUACCGUGAGGGAAAGGUGAAAAGAACCCCAAUCGGGGAGUGCAAUAGAGAACCUGAGAUCCGAUGCGAACAAUCAGUCGAAGGAGCGGAGCGCGGGCGCAGUCACUCUAACGGCGUACCUUUCGCAUGAUGGGUCAGCGAGGAAAUGGGAACAGCGGCUUAAGCCAUUAGGUGUAGGUGCUUUCCAGAGGUGGAAGAUUUACGUUCUUCCUAUUUGACCCGAAACCGAUCGAUCUAGCCAUGAGCAGGUUGAAGAGAGCUCUAACAGGCCUUGGAGGACCGAACCCACGUAUGUGGCAAAAUACGGGGAUGACUUGUGGCUAGGGGUGAAAGGCCAACCAAGAUCGGAUAUAGCUGGUUUUCCGCGAAAUCUAUUUCAGUAGAGCGUAUGAUGUCGAUGGCCCGAGGUAGAGCACUCAAUGGGCUAGGGUGGCCCCCAUUUCGCUUUACCAACCCCAGGGAAACUCCGAAUACAGGCUGUCAUCCUUAGUACAGACAGACUGAUUGGGUGCUAAGAUCCAAAGUCGAGAGGGAAACAGCCCAGAUCGUACGCUAAGGUCCCUAAGCAAUCACUUAGUGGAAAAGGAAGUGAUCGAGCGAUGACAACCAGGAGGUGGGCUUGGAAGCAGCCAUCCUUUGAAGAAAGCGUAAUAGCUCACUGGUCUAGCUCCAUGGCACCGAAAAUGUCUCAGGGCUCAAGUGAUUCACCGAAGCGACGAGACCUUGAAUGCUGCUUUUUCAAGUGUCAGUAGCGGGACGUUCUGUCAAUCGGGAAAGGUUUUUGGUGACAAGACCUGGAGAUAUCAGAAGUGAGAAUGCUGACAUGAGUAACGAGAAAUCCUGUGAAAAACACGAUCGCCUGCUAGUGGAAGGCUUUCUGCGUUCAGUCAAUCUACGCAGAGUGAAUCGGUCCCUAAGGAACCCCCGAAAGGGCUGCCGUCCGAUGGGUACACGAAAGUGACGAAGUUGCUUUGACUACUGAACCAUGCCUGGAUCGUCGGAGCGAAUUGGAUGAUCGGGCCGAGGGCUGCCCCCUCUUCCCCUCGCUCUCCUUUCCUUAAUAUUCACCGUCGAGUCAUCAAAGCCGUCAACUAAUUCAGAGGGGCUCAGCUGGCCCGGUCGCCCUACGCUACUGGCGCUUCCAAAGGCGAAGCUCUCGUCUUUGGCGACCAGCAAACUCUGGGCUAAAACCUGUAGUUUUGAAGCAAGGGAUGAGCGCGAAAGCCGUUGCGCUUCCGUACACGCGCAUACGUUUUCUUGCUCCGUCGCGCGUUAGUACAAUAACGCGCAGCCGUUUUCUUGCUGGGGCGGACACGGAUUUCUCUCUAAAGGCGAAGACUCAGAAGUGGGCGAACACUCGGCCCAGCGGGCGAACAUGCCGGCUCCGGCUCCGCGCACCUGCUGACACCUUUCGAAGCACUUUCACGUGUGAACCGAAGUCGUCUUGCCGAACUCCUUCCUUUCUCAUUUCAGUCCUCGCCUUUUUCAUCUUCCAUAGGGGCCUUUAGUCUUUUGAUUAGAGAAGAGGUCGCGAGAGAGCAGAGCGUACCGCCCUGCCAUAGUCGCGAGGAUCUUAAUAGUCGGUCGCGACUGUUGUCAUAGUCAACGACGGUUGAAACUUCUAGGAAAAAACUUCGAAUUGGGAGGGCGAUCCUCCCGGUGAGCUGACCGUACCCCAAACCGACACAGGUGAACAAGUAGAGUAUACUAGGGCG
rnacentral:rRNA from 1 species